CCAGGGCCAGGCCGGGCCAGGCUGGGCCCUUGCCGUCGGGUGGCCGCGCUGCCUCCUGGAGAUGGAGACGAAGGUGUUGGGCUGGUGAUGCUCUGAGCGGCCUCUUCCCGCAGCCUCUCUGUGGUGCCCACAGAGCCGGCCCGCCAACCCUCCUGAGACGCGGCCCAUGGACCCACCCCACGGCGAGCCCCCCGCCUGCUGCAGACACACAAAGACCCCGCAGCCCCUUCCCAGGGCCCUGUCCUCUCGGCUGGCAGAGUGGAGGCGCCGGUGUGAGCGGCGGGAGGCUGAGGCCGCGAGGAAGCUGAGUCCAG